rnacentral:rRNA from 1 species
ACAAUGGAGAGUUUGAUCCUGGCUCAGGAUGAACGCUAGCGGGAGGCCUAACACAUGCAAGCCGAGCGGUAGAUUGUCUUCGGACAAUUGAGAGCGGCGUACGGGUGCGGAACACGUGUGCAACCUGCCUUUAUCAGGGGGAUAGCCUUUCGAAAGGAAGAUUAAUACCCCAUAAUAUAUGUCAAGGCAUCUUGAUAUAUUGAAAACUACGGUGGAUAAAGAUGGGCACGCGCAAGAUUAGAUAGUUGGUGAGGUAACGGCUCACCAAGUCAAUGAUCUUUAGGGGGCCUGAGAGGGUGAUCCCCCACACUGGUACUGAGACACGGACCAGACUCCUACGGGAGGCAGCAGUGAGGAAUAUUGGACAAUGGGUGGAAGCCUGAUCCAGCCAUCCCGCGUGAAGGAUGACGGCCCUAUGGGUUGUAAACUUCUUUUGUACAGGGAUAAACCUAUUUACGUGUAAAUAGCUGAAGGUACUGUACGAAUAAGCACCGGCUAACUCCGUGCCAGCAGCCGCGGUAAUACGGAGGGUGCAAGCGUUAUCCGGAUUUAUUGGGUUUAAAGGGUCCGUAGGCGGAUCAGUAAGUCAGUGGUGAAAUCUCAUAGCUUAACUAUGAAACUGCCAUUGAUACUGCUGGUCUUGAGUAAGGUAGAAGUAGCUGGAAUAAGUAGUGUAGCGGUGAAAUGCAUAGAUAUUACUUAGAACACCAAUUGCGAAGGCAGGUUACUAUGUCUUAACUGACGCUGAUGGACGAAAGCGUGGGGAGCGAACAGGAUUAGAUACCCUGGUAGUCCACGCUGUAAACGAUGCUAACUCGUUUUUGGGUUUUCGGAUUCAGAGACUAAGCGAAAGUGAUAAGUUAGCCACCUGGGGAGUACGAACGCAAGUUUGAAACUCAAAGGAAUUGACGGGGGCCCGCACAAGCGGUGGAUUAUGUGGUUUAAUUCGAUGAUACGCGAGGAACCUUACCAAGGCUUAAAUGGGAAUUGAUCGGUUUAGAAAUAGACCUUCCUUCGGGCAAUUUUCAAGGUGCUGCAUGGUUGUCGUCAGCUCGUGCCGUGAGGUGUUAGGUUAAGUCCUGCAACGAGCGCAACCCCUGUCACUAGUUGCCAUCAUUAAGUUGGGGACUCUAGUGAGACUGCCUACGCAAGUAGAGAGGAAGGUGGGGAUGACGUCAAAUCAUCACGGCCCUUACGCCUUGGGCCACACACGUAAUACAAUGGCCGGUACAGAGGGCAGCUACACAGCGAUGUGAUGCGAAUCUCGAAAGCCGGUCUCAGUUCGGAUUGGAGUCUGCAACUCGACUCUAUGAAGCUGGAAUCGCUAGUAAUCGCGCAUCAGCCAUGGCGCGGUGAAUACGUUCCCGGGCCUUGUACACACCGCCCGUCAAGCCAUGGAAGUCUGGGGUACCUGAAGUCGGUGACCGUAAAAGGAGCUGCCUAGGGUAAAACAGGUAACUAGGGCUAAGUCGUAACAAGGUAGCCGUACCGGAAGGUGCGGCUGGAACAUCUCAUUU